CAAAUAGUGACAGUUGGCGCGGUAUGUAUAAAUUUCGAAUCCAUGUAACUUUCAAAUUAACUGAAGAAAGAAAAAUAAAUUCACAAGAUUGCAGAGAGUACACUGAAAUAGUGUCUGUCUAGUUUAGAUGAAAAGCAAUUACUAAUAUGUUGAGGUUACUGUUUUAUGCUUCUUAUUACAUUCAUGUUCUCGAUGAUAUGUAACUUUUGAAUACUGUAAAUUCAGAUUUUAUUGCAUAUGUAUGUAUCAGAUAUCAAAAUCCUAUUAUUAAGACACUUCACCCAUUCACAUUGCUUGCAUUAAUAGAAAACUCCCAAUAUUUUAUGAAUUUACGAUAUAUAUAAAUAUGUAAUGAACCUAUCUUUGAUUGUGGACAGCUCUAAAAUGUAAAUGUAACAAGAUACCCAACACCUUCACUAAAAUUAAUUUGGCUCUUUUAAUUUUCAUAAAAUUUUGACAAAGUAUUUACUUUGACCCUGUGACAAAACUGUAAAAAUUUCAAAAAUUUGAACCAACCAUAUUAUCAGAAAAAUUACACUGGUUAUAUAGCAGUUUGACAAACACCAAUAUUGAUCAUUGAGAAGCUUAAUAUUCCCUUAACAAUGCAACGUAAUUAAAACGUUUAGCUGAUUUUACAGAGUUAUCUCCCUGUAGUGUUAGGUACCACCUUAAUGUGAUACUGUGGAUUCAUUAAUAUUCAUUGAAUACCAAUUUUCAUGGAUUUCGUAGGUACAGGUGAACCAUGAAAUUAAAUGUUCAACCAAUGACAAAUUUUCUAUUGACUUGUAUGCAGACCUCGGCAAAACCACAAAAUUAAAUUUUCACGAAUAUUCAAAUUUUCCUUUAUCCACGAAAAUUGGUACCCACGAAAAUAAAUGAAUCCACAGUAGUGCUAGAUACUAAAAUUUGUUGACUUUGGUAAAUGAAACAUUUUCAAACUCCCCAGUAUUAAAUUGGACCACUGUUACUAAACAUUUAUUAUGUUAACUAAGUAUUUGAAAUAUAUUUUAAAGUCUAUUGAGGCCAAAUAUUAUCUAUUAUAAAUGUAUCAGUUAUUUUCAAUUUUGGACAGGUUAAGUUUUCAAUGAAAUAAAUUUAUUGAAAUAUACUUGUUUAAACUUUUUUUGUAAAGUCUUCUGUAAAUCAAAAAUUUAAUAGAAGAAUAAAGAUGUACAUUAGAAAAUAUAUUCCAUUAUUAAAGAAAGAAAUAACAUACGGUUUGGUCUUUAGAUUGCUCAAUUUUGGGCCUUUUUGAUGAAUAUAAGAGCAAGUAGGUAGUAUGAAUGAAUUAAAAGUCAUAAUUAAUUUUAUUUUAUUUCGUUA
rnacentral:lncRNA from 1 species